CCAGCCGAGCCUCUUUACAAUGCUUAAAUAGGCUGGG
rnacentral:sRNA from 12 species